rnacentral:lncRNA from 1 species
AAAAGAAAGACAGAAAAAAGUCACAGGAAAAAAAACACACCUUACAUAUAGAAGAACAAGAACAACACUGGACUUCUUGUCAGAAACAAUGCAAGCAAGGAGAGAGUGAAGUGAAAUAUUUAAAGCAUUGAAACUUAAAAAAGAGAAAAACACCAACAUGGAAUCUUAUAUCCAGAAAAAUUUUCCUUCAAAGGUGAAGUAUAAAUAAAGACUUUCUCAGACAAACCUUUCACCAAUAGACCUGCUGUGCGAGAAACAUAAAAAGAAGUGCUUUAGUGGGCCAGGCAUGGUGGCUCAUGCCUGUAAUCCCAGCACUUUGGGAGACCAAGGUGGGAGGAUCACUUGAGCCGAGGGAGUUCAAGACGAGUCUGGGCAACAUAGACUCCAUCUCUUAAAAAAAAAAAAAAAAUUAAAUUAGCAGGGCAUGGUGGUGCAUGCCUGUGGUCCCAGCUAUUCCAGAGGCCGAGGUGGGAGUAUCGCUAGUGCCCAGGAGGUCAAGGCUGCAGGGAGCCAUGAUCGCACCACUGCACUCCAGCCUGGACAGCAAAGCAAGACGUUGCAGGAAGAAAGGGAAGAGAAG